UAUCUCUGUAGAGUCUGCAUAUCAAUAAGCGGAGGAAAAGAAACUAACAAGGAUUCCCUUAGUAACGGCGAGUGAAGCGGGAAGAGCUCAAAUUUGAAAUCUACAAGGUUUUACCUUGACGAAUUGUAGUUUAAAGAAGUGUUUUCUGUUGAAGUUUCGGUAAAAGUUCUUUGGAAUAGGACAUCAUAGAGGGUGAGAAUCCCGUAUUUGACCGUUAUUUUCAGCUGUGUGAUACACUUUCAAAGAGUCGGAUUGUUUGGGAAUGCAGUCCAAAAUGGGUGGUAAAUUUCAUCUAAAGCUAAAUAUUGGCGAGAGACCGAUAGCGAACAAGUACCGUGAGGGAAAGAUGAAAAGAACUUUGAAAAGAGAGUUAAACAGUACGUGAAAUUGUCAAAAGGGAAGCGUUUGACACCAGUGUUGUUUUCUCGAAAAUCAAUUAAAAAUGGCUUGAUUUUGUGUUGUAUUGACCUUAAAAGCUUUCUGCACUUUUUUCAUGUCUUUUUUAAUGCACUUUUCGUUUAACAAGUCAACAUCAGUUUCUUUUGUUGUAAAAAGGUCAUUGGAAGGUGGCUUUCUUUUCGGAGAAAGUGUUUAUAGCCUUUGACUCCUGCAAUCGGAGAGACUGAGGUCUGCAGCGUAGAUCCUUCUUGGAUUAGAUUCAUUUGUGCUAAGUUAUAGCUCUUUAUAGACAACUUGUUGACUAUAUUUAGUCUUGUAGCUUACUCGCUUAUGCAAUUUUACCUACGCUUAGGAUGUUGAACGCGCACAGAGUCUC
rnacentral:rRNA from 1 species